rnacentral:rRNA from 1 species
AUUGAACGCUGGCGGCAGGCCUAACACAUGCAAGUCGAACGGUAACAGGAAGCAGCUUGCUGCUUUGCUGACGAGUGGCGGACGGGUGAGUAAUGUCUGGGAAACUGCCUGAUGGAGGGGGAUAACUACUGGAAACGGUAGCUAAUACCGCAUAACGUCGCAAGACCAAAGAGGGGGACCUUAGGGCCUCUUGCCAUCGGAUGUGCCCAGAUGGGAUUAGCUAGUAGGUGGGGUAACGGCUCACCUAGGCGACGAUCCCUAGCUGGUCUGAGAGGAUGACCAGCGACACUGCAACUUAGACACGGUCCAGACUCCUACGGGAGGCAGCAGUGGGGAAUAUUGCACAAUGGGCGCAAGCCCAAUGCAGCCAUGCCGCGUGUAUGAAGAAGGCCUUCGGGUUGUAAAGUACUUUCAGCGGGGAGGAAGGGAGUAAAGUUAAUACCUUUGCUCAUUGACGUUACCCGCAGAAGAAGCACCGGCUAACUCCGUG